rnacentral:rRNA from 1 species
AUGAUGCCUUGUGAUUUCUUUGCUACUACCUUGCAUUACAUGAUACCAUCACUUAAGAUUGAUUUGAAAACUCAUUUGCUUGGAUAUGAUGAUAUAUACCCUGUUAGUGGCAUUACUCUCAUUUGUGAUGAUCAUAGUUACUUUCCUCGUGCUAAUCCUAUGCUUAAUGAAACAUAUCACUCCCAUGCUAGUAUUGAGCUUAAUGAUAAAUAUCAUCCUCAUGUUAGUGUUGACCUUGCUGAUUUCUACCAUCCUAAACAUGUGCUUUAUAGCUAUGCUUAUGUAAUUGGAUACUCUAUCGAUGACUUAGAGGGCAUUCUCUCUGUCACUUGUAUUGGCUUGGUUGUUGAGUGUUCUUUCAGGUUGAUGCUUGUGUACCAUUUACUGCGAGUUGACCGAGUUCGAGAUGACAUUCCCUGGGAUCCUGGUGGACUCAGAGCAUGGGGAUGA